AAGGCCUUAAGUUAAAUAAACUAAUAACCUUCAAAGCUAUCAAUAAAGAAAUCUGUCUUUAGGCUUUA
rnacentral:tRNA from 1 species